AGAACCUAUCGUGGCGCUAACAUUGACUCCGACCACUUGUUACAUCAUUGAGAUUAUGUCGAUGAAAUGCGCCCAAAUUUUCUCGGUGUGUAAAGAUUAAUACCAAUAAAGCAGCUGAAAUGUUUCAAAAUACCUACCAGCAAAAUCUCUCUCGUCGCCUUUCAUCACGUUCAAGGUUACACAUACUGAAGCCUUGACCAUCGAAACUCAUCACAGGCUACGAACAAUGCAGCCCCAUUGUACCGCUAUCGAAGCCGGCGUGCGGUCGCAUGAGCAAUGUUCCAAAAGUUUACCAAAAAGUGCAUGCUCCGAAGUGAACUAAGUGUUCAAUAGUGCGAUUAAACACUCCGUUAUCGGUGAGAACGUCAAAUACUUGCAGCAUCCAACAGUUUGGCCCUGAUCCACGUGCUCAAGAGGGAUCUAAUUCUACUAAAGCGAACAAUAGAGGUAAUUCAAACAAUGUUUGCCAAGCUACCCAUCCCUAAUUGUGCUCUACUAGGUGUCAUUGCAUGAUCGACGAGUUAUCAGACGCCAGGUGGAUGGUUCAAAAUCCGGUUUACCGUAGAUUAUCCCAGAGCACGGACACUGCCAAUAAUAGCAGCAUCAAAUUCGACCUGGACCGUUUUGUGGCAGAAGUCCCACUCAAGACAGCAUAAAAAGGCCUUCAUCAGAGGGCCUUUUAUUUGCAGGCUCAAAUAGGCACUGCACUCCACGCGACGUUCUCAUCGCUCAGCACCCCAGCUACCUGCACGCUUUCCGUCAGCCGGUCAAAUUCUGGGAGGAAGGUCCUACACGAGCGCCAGUCGAGAGAGAUCAUGACCAAAUUGCAUCAAAGGUGCAUCCACCUGCGACAACAUUGAGCAGGCAGCGCGACAACCCGCACGUACAACUUGUUGCACCCCUGGUGCGACUGGGACGUGCUACAUUCUCGAGCUCUCAACAACGGUGUGACAAGCCACGGUGGCCGUAUCACCAACAGUUGUAGCGCGACAGCCGCGGUGCAGCAAAGUGCAACGCAGCGAUCGGGUGAAGGCCUUCCUGGUCGUGUAGCACCCGGUGGUGUGCGACGAAGCCAACGUGGAGCAGAAUGCAUCGAUGGUAGCAGCACGGGGCCCCCAACGAUACUGUUAGUGAGUAGCAAUGAGAACCUAGCAUAAGUUUGAAACAUUGUACCGGUAGAUCGAAGGUUUGCGAAAAUAGAAGUAUGAGAUGUUAAAUGUUACGUUCCAUGGUAGCUCUAAUUUCUACCUUGCCUUUAUCUUUUGAUUGAGUCAUUUUUUUUGGUUCCAUCGGCGCUAGUGCACUAUGCAAACAGUGGCUAGCCGGCCUUAUCCGUCAAUCUGAACCAAGAGUUUUAUUAGAAGGUGCACCGACGCCGGGAGGACCACUUUCUGUUUGUAGUGCUGUUGGUCAUAUAUUCCAUUGAGGCACUACCCGAGUUUUAAAGCGUUAUAUCCUUCUCGAAGCUUUUUCCCUCGGGAGUUGGCAAACACAAUAAGGGAAAAUUGUUACACACUACCUGGUGAUGGUGAAACUGCGCCCAAAACUAUCCGUCAUCAAUGAUGUACGGUACC
rnacentral:lncRNA from 1 species